CCCGAAUCCUGACACAGGGAGGUAGUGACAAGAAAUAACAAUACAGGGCUACUUCUAGUCUUGUAAUUGGAAUGAGUACAACUUACAUCUCUUCACGAGGAUCAAUUGGAGGGCAAGUCUGGUGCCAGCAGCCGCGGUAAUUCCAGCUCCAAUAGCGUAUAUUAAAGUUGUUGCAGUUAAAAAGCUCGUAGUCGGAUUUCGGGUCGGGCCGAGCGGUCUGCCGAUGGGUAUGCACUGUUCGGCGCGGCCUUCUUUCCGGAGACCGCGGCUACUCUUAACUGAGCGGGCGUGGGAGACGGAUCGUUUACUUUGAAAAAAUCAGAGUGUUUCAAGCAGGCAGCUCGCUCUUGCAUGGAUUAGCAUGGGAUAAUGAAAUAGGACUCUGGUGCUAUUUUGUUGGUUUCGAACACCGGAGUAAUGAUUAACAGGGACAGUCAG
rnacentral:rRNA from 1 species